rnacentral:rRNA from 1 species
UGAAUACGAGAUGCUACGGCGUCGAAGCAGUCUAAGUCAUACUUCCAAGAAAAGCUUGCACUGUCAUAAACAAAUAAUGCCUGUACCAUAACCGACACAGGUGGGUAGGUAGAGUAUACUAAGGGGCGCGAGAUAACUCUCUCUAAGGAACUCGGCAAAAUGACUCCGUAACUUCGGGAGAAGGAGUGCCUUAUUUAUAAGGUUGCAAUAACAAGAUCCAAGCAACUGUUUACCAAAAACACAGGUCUCCGCUAAGUCGUAGGACGAUGUAUGGGGGCUGACGCCUGCCCAGUGCCAGAAGGUUAAAGAAGUUGGUUAGCAUCCGCGAAGCUGAUAACUGAAGCCCUGGUGAACGGCGGCCGUAACUAUAACGGUCCUAAGGUAGCGAAAUUCCUUGUCGGGUAAGUUCUGACCCGCACGAAAGGCGUAAUGAUUUGGAUACUGUCUCGGAGAGGGGCUCGGUGAAAUAGACUUGUCUGUGAAGAUGCGGACUACCUGCACCAGGACAGAAAGACCCUAUGAAGCUUUACUGUAACCUGAAAUUGAAAUUGGACUUUACUUGCGCAGUAUAGGUGGGAGGCGUUGAGAAUAUUCUUGCGGGAUUAUUGGAGCCAUCAGUGAGAUACCACUCUUGUAAUGUUAGAUUUCUAACUUUGUAUCAUUAUCUGGUCAAAGAACAGUUUCAGGCGGGCAGUUUGACUGGGGCGGUCGCCUCCUAAACGGUAACGGAGGCGCACAAAGGUUUCCUCUGAACGGGUAGAAAUCGUAUCUAGAGUGUAAAGGCAUAAGGAAGCUUGACUGUGAGACCUACAAGUCGAGCAGGGACGAAAGUCGGUCUUAGUGAUCUGACGGUGCUGAGUGGAAAGGCCGUCACUCAACGGAUAAAAGUUACUCUAAGGAUAACAGGCUGAUCUCCCCCAAGAGUUCACAUCGACGGGGAGGUUUGGCACCUCGAUGUCGGCUCAUCGCAUCCUGGGGCGGUAGUACGUCCCAAGGGUUGGGCUGUUCGCCCAUGAAAGCGGUACGCGAGCUGGGUUCAGAACGUCGUGAGACAGUUCGGUCCAUAUCCGGUGUAGGCGUUAGAAUAUUGAGAGGAGCCUUCUUUAGUACGAGAGGACCGAGAAGGACAUACCUCUGGUGUACCAGUUAUCGUGCCAACGGUAAACGCUGGGUAGCUAUGUGUGGAGUGGAUAACCGCUGAAAGCAUCUAAGUGGGAAGCCCACCUCAAGAUAAGUA